AGUGAACGCUGGCGGUAGGCCUAACACAUGCAAGUCGAACGGCAGCACAGUAAGAGCUUGCUCUUACGGGUGGCGAGUGGCGGACGGGUGAGGAAUACAUCGGAAUCUACUUUUUCGUGGGGGAUAACGUAGGGAAACUUACGCUAAUACCGCAUACGACCUACGGGUGAAAGCAGGGGAUCUUCGGACCUUGCGCGAUUGAAUGAGCCGAUGUCGGUUAGCUAGUUGGCGGGGUAAAGGCCCACCAAGGCGACGAUCCGUAGCUGGUCUGAGAGGAUGAUCAGCCACACUGGAACUGAGACACGGUCCAGACUCCUACGGGAGGCAGCAGUGGGGAAUAUUGGACAAUGGGCGCAAGCCUGAUCCAGCCAUACCGCGUGGGUGAAGAAGGCCUUCGGGUUGUAAAGCCCUUUUGUUGGGAAAGAAAAGCAGCAGGUUAAUACCCCGCUGUUCUGACGGUACCCAAAGAAUAAGCACCGGCUAACUUCGUG
rnacentral:rRNA from 1 species